AGGUAUUGCCCAGGUGUCUGAAUGCCUGCUUUGGGAUACCUCCUUUUCUGAUAGUCUAUAUUCCUGUCCUGGAUUUUAAUAGAAGUCCCUGGGCUGAGGUGUUAACAGUCUUCAUUUAAUGAAUUUCCAUGAACAUCUUUUUUUUGAUGAUCGUUGUGUGGAGAUAUCAUCUUAAUUGAAACUGUGAGAAGGGUGGUGAGAAACUGAGGAUGCCUUGAUCUGCCUGGAUCUGGAUGUGGGCCUUGUUCUGAGAACAGGUGAUGAAAGCAUUUAUUGUCCUGACCCUGGAAUUCCUCUCCCAUGACCAGGACCAGCUCACCCAGGAGCUGCAGCAGUAUGUGAAGUCAGUGACAGCCCCAUAUAAGUACCUGAGGAAGGUGAGUGAGGGCAGAUGGAUGGGAUGUGCUCCCCUCCACUGGUUCCUGGGGCUCUGCUCGGGUGGCUGAGGUGAAGCUUAUGUAGCCAAUGGAAUAAACAUUUUCCUAUGCAGAAGAAGCAAUUCAACUUAGGGAUUUGGAAGAAUCAACUCAAUCAGAUGGAACCUCUGUCCUAUGUCAGAAACAUGGCUGACAUGUCAUCAUAAAGAAAAAGAUGAAACAAAUUCUCAGAGAUGUCAAGAAGAUUAUUUGUGAGGAGUUAAGAUGACAGAGCACCAUGGAGAUCCUGAGCUUGCCUUAUCCCUGAAACAGCUAGAUCAGCAUGAAACCAUUUUAAACACCUAGGAAAUUGACCUGAGGACUGACAACAAUCAACAUAACUUGAGCCACAGUGUUCAGCAGGUACAUGGUGCAGAGAGGUGAACUGAGGGAGAGAAAAGACAGGGAGGGUAGGGAGAUGUUUUUGCAG